AUGAUGAUAAAGGAGGAGCAUGAGGAGUUUUCUCGUAAGAUGGCGAAGAUGCGUCUUGAGAUUGAAGAAAAGUAUAAGCGGGACUGUGAGUACAUGGAAAAAAGUUUGUCCUUGGCUACAAGGAAAUGCAUCAAACAUUGCAGAAGGACCGGAAGCUUGUGGAUAGUAUUAUACAGACAGAGCGAGUCAGGAUGGAUGCGUAUGUGUUGCAGGCACGUGCGGAUAUGGACAGUAAGCUGCUACAGGAGCGGUCGGACAUGGACUAUAAGGCCAUGCUGGAGAAGGUCCGCUUGGAAGGACAUAUGUUAG
rnacentral:rRNA from 1 species